AUUGAACGCUGGCGGAAUGCUUUACACAUGCAAGUCGAACGGCAGCACGGACUUCGGUCUGGUGGCGAGUGGCGAACGGGUGAGUAAUGUAUCGGAACGUGCCCAGUCGUGGGGGAUAACGUAGUGAAAAUUACGCUAAUACCGCAUACGAUCUAUGGAUGAAGGCGGGGGAUCGCAAGACCUCGCGCGAUGGGAGAGGCCGAUAUCAGAUUAGGUAGUUGGGGGGGUAAAGGCCCACCAAGCCAACGAUCUGUAACUGGUAUGAGAGGACGACCAGCCACACUGAAACUGAGACACGGUCCAGACUCCUACGGGAGGCAGCAGUGGGGAAUUUUGGACAAUGGGCGAAAGCCUGAUCCAGCCAUUCCGCGUGCAGGAUGAAGGCCCUCGGGUUGUAGACUGCUUUUGUACAGAACGAAAAGGUUUCUACUAAUACUAGGAGCUCAUGACGGUACUGUAAGAAUAAGCACCGGCUAACUACGUGCCAGCCGCCGCCGUAA
rnacentral:rRNA from 1 species